UUCUUUUUCUAAUUUGUGUUCCUUUCCUCUUGUUAUACCUCAUAUAUCUCCUCAAUAUGAUCAUAUCAUUAAAUGCUUUUUAAAAGAUAGUUUAAAAAUGCUUAGACCUUAGUAUUUAAAAUCUAUCAGGAACUUAAAAUGAAAACAGCUUUCAUUUUUGAUCAAAAGAGUACUUUCAUAGUUACUUAUUUGGUUCCUCUUGCUACGGGGCAGUUUUAUCACUUUCUUUUAGAUUUCUGUUUUUAUUUCUUGAGUGUUUAGAACACAUAUAUUUGAUGGUUAAAUUCGUAGAUUUUCUUAGUCCAAAUUUUAUUUUUUCACUUGUACAGAAUUAAAAAUAUUCCUAAAGUGAAAGAGUAAGCUUGUUCUUUCAUCUGUAGUUGUUAAAAAAUUAGUCUAAAUGUUGUUAGGUAAUGGAAUAACCAUUCCUUUUCAGCUUUUGGUAUAUUCCACACUGGCUGGCAAAGCCAGGAGGAAGUGAAGGCAUUAAAACACUAACUUUGGUUGGUUGCUACCUUCUUAGUGCUGAGACUAUAUAACCUUUGUUGGUUGAUUGAUAGAGAACAAGAGACACAAUCCUCGUUCCACUAACAGCUCUCUAUUUCAGUGCUUCUCUCCUACCAGAGGUGCAAGGAGUGAUCCUAGAACCACAGAUACAGCCAAGACCACGGAGAGCUUUUGACGUCAGGGGUCCACUUUCUCCACUGAACCCUUGGAGGCAGAAUAUCCAGCUUCUGGAGAGAGUGGGAAAGGAUAAUAAACAAAUUUCUUUCAACUGGUAAACAUCAUGCUUCUUCAGCAAAAGGAACUCUUCUAGCAGAGCCUUCAUGGAUGAUAUCUGUCACACAUGCAGCACCUGCAGUUUGGAAGGCAGUGGUGAACGGAGCCAUGCAAUAUAUCUAGAAGACACCAGGAUGAGAGAGCCACCUGAUAUUGUCAUUUAUAAACUUUAAGAUUUACUCUGGUGUACUCUUGGUCUGAAAAUGGAAAGGCUCAAAUAAUGAAAAUUUUUUUUUUCUGAUUGGAAUUUUACAUGGCCAUGAGAUAAUUCCAUUCUAAAUGGAAAUAGAGGAAGCAUGAGAGACUCCUUUCUUUUAAAAGAGGCUCUCUGUGUCUAUCCCACUUAAGAUUUAUGGGAUUGAAAAUCACCAGAAAUGAAUCAGGCAAACAUUUUAGUUGCAUAGGACAUCUAAAAUAAUGAAUUUUUUGUUGCCUGAUACUGAUAGUAAAGGGUGAACUUCUUAAUUAAUCCCAAAUUACUUUUAAUAUUAAGAUAUACUCUUAUCUUUUUCUGGUCUUGAGCCCUACUCUUAUUUGUCAGUAAAGAUUCCAGUACAGAAGCAAAAAAAGACAUCUUUUGAGAUGAAAAUAGCUGAGUAGGUCUUGUGAAGUAGUAAAUACCUAUUAAGAUUAUGGUAUUCUGCAUUGAAGGCAUAUAUAAAGUUUGAACGAUGCAGGAAUAAAGCAGUGCUUUCUAGAGCAAAGGCAAUUAGUGGAUAAACCUCUAUGUGUGAAUAACUAUUGCCAAAAUACUUCCCCAGACUACUGAUUGAUAGAAGUAGUUAUCAAUGUUUCUAUUUUUCAUUGGUAGCUAAUCAGUUAAAAGCUAUUAAAGAGGUUUUUAAAACUUGUUUGAUGCUACCAGUUUUAUUUGGUAUAAAGUUCAAGUAUAGAAAUUCUAGAGUUAUUAAUAUGGGAAGCAUCUGAAAUUUUUUUUUUUUUUUUGCAUCUGAAAUAUUUUUAGCUUAAAGGUUUUAGAAGCCAUAUUAGCUAAAAUUUAACUUAAUUUGUCUUGGCUAUGAAACCUAUUUCUUCUUUAAUACCAAAUGCAUAUUUGUAUAUGUAGUGCUUAAAAGUUAAAGGUAGCUUUGAACUAAAAUUUCCCUAGAAUCUUAAAUUUUCAUAAAUAAUUACAGCUUUUAAAUUCUUGAUUUGUUUUGUUAAAUUUGUUUGUUAGUAAGAUUAUUGGUUUACAAAUUGGUAUAAAUUAAAAAGUAGUAUUUCAGAAAGAACUUGAGGGAAAAUUGAAGGUGAAAUUUGCUUGGAAAUUAAGUUAUCUAAACCAUUUUAUGGCCUGUGAGAUUUUUUUAGCGUUUUGUUUCAGCUUUAAAUAUGAAGUUAAUUUCUUGAUCCAUGCUUUGAUUAAAUUUUAGCUCUGUUCCUUAAAGUUUGCAAAAGAAAUGUAAGUGCAUUUCUAUUCACCUCAUGCCACUGAAAACUAUAUAAAAGUGAACAUUUUUGUAUAUUAAUGUGAACUGAUUUGUUUAAACUUUUAUUUUGAUACAAUUUUCUUUCAGAUUUUUUAUAUUCAUGUCACAAUAUGCAGUUUUAUAUUUUUCAGUGUUUAUUUUAUAAAUAUUAAUGAGCUUUUUUCCAGAAUGAUUAACUGUGUAAUAUUUGUAUUAUGUGAUCAUUUGAAAACUAAUAAAUAUU